rnacentral:rRNA from 1 species
GAUGAACGUUGGCGGUGUGCCUAAUACAUGCAAGUCGAACGGAGACUGUAGCAAUACUGUCUUAGUGGCGAACGGGUGAGUAACGCGUUGGUGAUCUGCCUCGAAGUGUGGAAUAACCUCCCGAAAGGGAAGCUAAUACCGCAUAGUCUCUCAAGGUUUAGAAAAUUGAGAGUAAAGGAUUUAUUCGCUUCGAGAGGAGCCUGCGUCCCAUCAGCUAGUUGGUAGGGUAACGGCCUACCAAGGCAAUGACGGGUAGGGGACCUGAGAGGGUGGCCCCCCACAAUGGAACUGAAACACGGUCCAUACACCUACGGGUGGCAGCAGUAGGGAAUAUUAGAAAUGGACGAAAGUCUGAUCUAGCAACACCGCGUGUGCGAAGAAGGCCUUCGGGUCGUAAAGCACUUUUUGGAAGGAAUAGGAAGGAAUGUACUUCCAGAAUAAGUCUCGGCUAACUACGUG